rnacentral:misc_RNA from 1 species
GAAAUGCGAUAAGUAGUGUGAAUUGCAGAAUUCAGUGAAUCAUCGAAUCUUUGAACGCACAUUGCGCUUUCCGGUAUUCCGGAGAGCAUGCCCGUUUCAGAAUCAUUCAGGGAAGAUCAACCAGAUUGGAGGUCACUGUGCCGACAAGCUCGUUGGAAUGUGGACGUUUGCCGGUGCAAUCGUCUGAAACGCAGCGUAUUCGUCCCAAUCUUUGGUCUGGGGGUGGGAUCAAGUGCAACAGGUUUUUUCUAUUUCGCUUGCUGCCACCAAACAGGACGGGGGUUGGGUGCGAGUUGGAAGGGUGGCGAGGCCGUCCUGCGGCCUCGGGCCAUUCCCUUCAAUGGUUUCAACAAACUUGAUCUGAAAUCGGGCAAGAAAACCCGCUGAACUUAA